rnacentral:lncRNA from 1 species
AGUAAAUCCAGGAAAGAGGGGGGAAAGCAGCAAAAGAAUCUGGAAAAUUCCCCUUCCCUGUAUAAAAUCAAACUGGUGCCCCACGAAUGGUUAUAGCGUACCUGUUUGGCUCUACACCAUCUCUAUACACGUGAAUCUCUGCUCUUUACCCUGCCGACACGUUGGACGCCCACCCUCGCCUUUGCUCCCGAGGGGACGCCAAGCAUUAUCCAAACACCUUCCCCUUCUGUGGUGGGACCCCCGGCGUUUCUUCUCCUGCGAAAACCCUCGGCAGCAGCUCGGUGCGUUGCCUGCCCUGGACGCCUGUUCCUCCGUGGGCAGUAGCCGUGCGACUGUGACUACGGGAAAAGUGUUCUACGACACAUAUUUUAAUAUCAAUUUCCAUAUUAAUCAAUCACCUCAAACAUCUAUCUGCUGGAUAAAGGAAAUAGUUCGCAUUCCGA